AUGGAACACGUAUGUGGUGUACAGGUUCGGAUUCGAUCACACAUAGUACGACAACUUCAUUUGUGACUAGCGCUGCAACAUCAACUUCAGCAAAUUCUACCACAACGCUUGCUGAUCCGGAUCUUAUCAUAAAUGCAACCACCAUUUAUACAAAUUCAACCGACGCAAGUGUUCCUCUGUUGCGACUAACACCGAACCGACAUCACAGUCAUUGCAACACUCGACUUCAAAUGGAAAAUAUCCCGAAUCAUCCGGUUAUCGGAACACUACCCAUGAGAAAGCAAAGACGAGUUUAUCGGUCAUCGUGUACGUUGCAUCUGCAUCAUCUUUUGUCGUCGCCGCAUUGAUUGUUGUUGGUAGUUUAUUAGUCAUCAGGUAUAAACGAAUUAACAGGUCAUUAAAAUCGACCAAAGUAACUGCAAAUAACGCUAACAGAGUAAGAAGGCGUUCGCGUAGUGAAAACAUAGCUAUGCAAGGCAAUGUCGAUAACGACUACGAUUGUCAGGCAUUGUCCAACAUACCUCACAUCACAAAGGGGAGCGUGAAAUAUGCAGUUGCUGUACCACCAGGCACGUACAACUACGCGCUCACACAAGACGACAGAGAUGCCUCGCAAAAGUUGCGGUCGAAGAUUGAGCCGAACGGUUCUUCGAAAUCGGUCGCCAAAGUUGCUGUCGGUGAGGAAGAUCUUUGUCACCCGUUUUGUCGCAUACGUCCAUUGAAUGAACAAGGAAUCGUUGAUACGGUCGACGGUCCAUGUUCAUAUGAAAGAGGCAUUAGCGGUGCUGACGGUGAUACGUUCACGGAACAAAAAUGCACGUCUACAAUCACAUAACGUUCGGAGCAAGUACGGCUGAUCACGACAGCGGCUUGAUAUGCAAUGACCAGUACUCGCACAUUUCGAUUGAUGGCGCAAAUGCGUUGGGAAAAAAUAUCACCAACAUAAAUGCAGUAGAUCUGAACAGGCCGAUGAUUAUAGUCCAGUCGGACCAAAUAAUGCUAACAUGCAUGUACAUGUGCCUCUAGAUGAUUACAACCAUAUUGUUUUGUAACGUUUUAACGUUUGCAACUCCCUGCAUUCAUCGUAAAUUUCAUUGGAAUAGGAAUUUGCUGAAAAGUCCUUUUUGAAAAAAAUAAGUGACGUCAAUCGAGUGAUUGUUGUAAUUGAUUGAUCUAGUUAUAUCUUU